ensembl:lncRNA
GAUGAGAGACGUUAAGCUCCAAACUCAGAAUAAGAAUCUAUAAGAAAUAUGCGUCAAUGCAGAAGCUGUUCAAAAAUGAGUAAGAUUUUUUCCUUGAGCCAAGAAAGAAAUGCGGAAGUCUUGACAAACAAGAGAAGAGACUGCCUUAGGGAAAGGGACUACAGUGAACACUCAGAACUUCUUCCUGUGCUAAGACAAUCUUUAAAAGUAAACAUAAGAAGACAAAAGGUGGUGGAGACCUAUUCUGUUGGGUUAGAGAUGACAGAAAAUCUUAUUUGUUGGUUGGUUGGUUUGUUCAAGAAUACACUGACCGUCUACAAGAAAGGACAUCUGGAAAUGCAUAAACUGUUGCCUAAGGACACAGGGUAUGUGGCUGGUGACCUCAACAGGCCCCACGACUCGGGCACUGAGACCCAAGCUGGUCCCUCAGGGCAGUUCUCCUGCACAUGCUCUCUUGCCUGCUGCCAUGUCGGAUAUGCCUUUUUCUCCUCCUUCAUCUUCUGCCAUGAUUGUGAGACCUCCCCAGCCAUGUGGAACUGUAAGUCCAUUAAACCUGCUUUUCUUUACAAAUUACCCAGUUUUGAGCAUUUCUGCAUAGUAGUUUGA